rnacentral:tRNA from 1 species
GGGGUUGUGGCUCAGCGGUAGAGCGCUUGCCUAGCACAUGCAAGGCCCUGGGUUCGAUUCUCAGCACCA